GUGAAGGUAAUCUAGGUAGUCAAGGUAAUCUAGGUAGUGGAGGUAAUCUAGGUAGUAGAGGUAAUCUAGGUAGUCAAGGUAAUCUAGGUAGUCAAGGUAUCUAAGUAGUGGAGGUUAUCUAGGUAAUCUAGUUAGUCCAAGUAAUCUUGAAAGUCAAGGUAAUAUAGGUAAUCUAGGAAGUGAAAGGUAAUCAAGAUAGUCAAAGUAAUAUAGGUAGUUAAUGUCAAAAAAGGUAGCCAUCGCUCUGAGCUUUACUAAAAAAGGUUGCUGUUCCGCUACCGUCAGUAAAAGAAAGCCGAUGCAAGCGCAAGGCUCUCCAGUUGAUGAAUAAAACUGCAGUAUGAGAUUUUGUCAAAGUAGAAUAAAAAAGGUGCAUUCGAAUGCGUUGUUCCUUAGUGGAUUAUUUGGGAAGAACUAAAUUAAACCUUGUAUAAAAUACCUAGAAUAAACUAGUGAGUAUAUAGUAUAUGCCAAACUUUCCCUGGACCUAAUGUUGCUACAUCGCUUACUCGUUAAUUAUCUUUUUUAUUAAAAUGUACGUAGAUAUUGAAAUAUGAUAAAAUUUUAUGGCAAGUUCACGGCAAAAGUUAUAAAAGUAGAUAUUCAAUUGUUUUUCAUAUUCAAGCUGCGCGCAUUGAAUUUUGAGUAUUUGUGCAUUGCAUUUUGGGUCUAUUCGUUGAUUAAAGUUGAGAAUUUUGCUAGCUAUGUACAUAAAUUUUAUUUACUGCCUUGCUCGCUCACCUGUGGUGGCAAUAAUCGUUACAUGUCAAUUUUUUCUUCACUAUAAUACCACUAUAAUAAAUAACUGGACCUCCCCUUCUGAAGCAAUAUUUUCAGGUGCCCCUUUUUCGGUCAAAAAUACCUCAUGACCCACCCCCUUUCUUUGCCAGCCCACUCCCAGUCACAAAUAAUGAAUGGUCCCAUAGUUGACAAUGUACGUAUUUUUUUUAACUGAAAAAUUAAAAACAUUUAUAUAUUCGUAGCUAGUUUUUCGGUCCAGUGAUGUUUGUAUCAUAUGAUAUGCAGAAUUGCAUGCUGUAUAGACUAGCAAUUGCUUUGGCACUCAAAAUAAUAAUAAUAAUAAUUACAAUAUUUAGUCAGGGGGUCCACUCACGAAAGUGAUUUUCAGUGGAGCCCGGAUAAAAAAUAAAAAGAACAAAAAUAUAAAACUAACAAAAGUGAAUAUAUGAAAAGUUAUAUAGCAUAAAGUUCGCAUCCUUAUCGGUUCGGUACAGAGUCCUAUGGCUAUGACCUAUGUAGCUAGAUGUUUCAUGAAAUAAAAGAAGGAAAAAAUCCACAAAAAGUAAAAAAAAAUAAUAACAAUAAUUUAUCAUUACUUAAUAGGAGGAUCCCAAUGGUCACAUGUGUGGGGGUGUACUCCCCCCGAAAAUGUUUGAAAUUUGAAACACGGAAAUGCCAUUUCCUGCAUUCUGAGCAUCCAAAUUUGCUCUAAAAUUUAUGCUAACUAUACUUGUAUUUGAAAUAAAAGAAGGAAAAAAUGCACAAAAAGUAAAAAAGAAUAUUAACCGUAAUUUAUCAUUAUACUUAUAAGAGGGGGAUACCAAUGGCCACGUGUGUGGAGGCAUAAUCUCCAGAAAAUUUUUCAAAUUUGAAACCUGGAAAUGCUCUUUCCUGCAUUCUGAGCAACCAAAAAAUAAAACAUUAUUAACAAUAAUUUAUCAUUACUUAGUGGUAGAAAAACGUAACAAUUUAGAUCGAUUUUGUUAAACAAGGACAAAGGAUAAAGCCUAAAACUUACUUUCCGUUUAUUUAUUUGUUAUUCUUCGCUGUUUUGUUGGUAUAAAUUUAGGAAAAAGGGACUUUUCCUGGGGGGGGGGAAUGUGAUUUCGUGGGGAGCACAAGGGGGGACUGGGGGGGGGGAAAUGCCCCCCCCCCAGCUUGUAUGUUAAAAAAGGCCCUGACACUAGGCCUAAGGUUUGG